AAAAUUUUAAGUUCGAAUUUCAGAUAAAGAAAUGAGUUAUCCCAUUGUUUUAGUCCAGUAGCAUGAAAAUGACCAUACACUCAGAGGUGAGCAUACUUGUAGGAUUCUUCCAAACUUUCCUCUGCUUGCCUCUAUAUAUCAGCCUCAGUACUCUUCCUAAUAUACUACCUUCCUACACUCGUCCCUCUCCUCCCUAGCACAACUUCAGAGAGCUACACACAGAGUCAUGGCUCUCUCGCGUGCCAUGCUCAUGGCAACCUUCUUACUGGGUCUCAUAGCAUCCUCCUCCAUUGCUCAAGGCCCAAUAUCAUCGCCGCCAACAAUCCCACCGGCAACUACUGCAACGCCACCUACAAGUUCUGCAACCCCGCCUUCCUCAGCAGUCACACCUUCCUCUGCUCCCACCCCAGUGUCACCUUCACCAACAUCGUCCCCUCCUUCUUCAGCUACCCCAACAGCAAGCCCACCAGCAACCGCCCCGACAACGAGUCCAGGAUCAAGCCCACCAUCGCCAACUGCACCUGGGUCACCACCAUCAGAAUUGACUGCCACUCCUCCUGCACCCAUCGCACCAACACCAUCUUCUGGCCCCGGGUCGCAAACACCAACUCCUUCAGCUGCCCAAACUCCAGGUCCCGCCUCAUCGACACCGGGUUCAGGAGCUUUUGUUCAUGGAAGCAGGGUGGCAGCCUUGUUAUCACUGCUUGGAGGAGUUGCACUUGUGGUGCUAUUUGCUUAAAACCCAGAUGGUCAUACGAUGUAGAUUAAGAUAUUUAUUUGUGUAUUCUUUUUCUUUUAAUUUUGGGUUUGGUUUGGUUAUUCUUGGAGCUGAAUUUGUGAUUAGAGAUUUAAUUGGAUGUUACAGCUCUUUUCUAGAAUUUUGAUGUUAGCUGAAUAAGGGAUGCUGUGAUUCUUGCUAUUGUUCAAUGUGCUAAAAUUUUUCUUUUUCAUGCUUUUUUUAAUUACUUUGUGAUAUUGCUUGAGAGAGCUUCUUGUUUUUAAUAAGCAUGAGAACAAAAAUUUCUCUACUUCAUGUCAAGAAAACAAGAACCCCAUAUACAUCUUUAUGUUUGUAAAUAAUUUGAUUAGUGCUAAACAAGAAAGGACUAGACCCUUAAUCAAAACACUUUUUUAUUUGGAAAAAAAGGUUAGGUGGCUAGCUGCUUGAAGAGGGUAGAUGUGGAUGGAGGGUAGUGAAGAAAAGAUGGUGGAGGGAGGGAAAAGUUUAGGUGCUAGCUGUCGAGCUAGAAUUAUGUGAAGGAAAGAUGAGGUGAAAGAGCAU
rnacentral:misc_RNA from 1 species